AAUCCAUAGGUUAAUGAGGCGAACCGGGGGAACUGAAACAUCUAAGUACCCCGAGGAAAAGAAAUCAACCGAGAUUCCCCCAGUAGCGGCGAGCGAACGGGGAGGAGCCCAGAGCCUGAAUCAGCAUGUGUGUUAGUGGAAGCGUCUGGAAAGGCGCGCGAUACAGGGUGACAGCCCCGUACACAAAAGCGCAUGUGCUGUGAGCUCGAUGAGUAGGGCGGGACACGUGGUAUCCUGUCUGAAUAUGGGGGGACCAUCCUCCAAGGCUAAAUACUCCUGACUGACCGAUAGUGAACCAGUACCGUGAGGGAAAGGCGAAAAGAACCCCGGCGAGGGGAGUGAAAAAGAACCUGAAACCGUGUACGUACAAGCAGUGGGAGCACAGGUUUACCUGUGU
rnacentral:rRNA from 4 species